rnacentral:ncRNA from 1 species
CCAUACCAUGCCACUGUUGGUGCUCGCGCGGUGUGUUCGAUGCCGCGCGGUUAAACGGGAAACAGAGUGAUGCGCGUCUCGCGGCGCGUGUCUUGCCUGUGCUGCCCCCGCAACGGUGAGUGGACGCGGCCCAUCCGGGGCCGUCGUUCGUAUGCAGGGCCACUGGUCGUCUUCGCAGGACGGCUGGGAAGGCGCAUCGAAUGGGUCCACCAGCCCGGAUACCGGCCAACAGGCGAAAACCGCA